CGGGUCUGUGGUUAAGUGGCAUAAUAAUGGACUCCAAAUCCAUUGUCGGGGGUUCGAUUCCUCCCAGACCCGU
rnacentral:tRNA from 1 species